CGUGGCUCUGAUCCGAAAUCAGGGCAUUUUUGUUCGAACAAAUACCUAUAAUAACGAUGAAGAAGUGCGUGAUCCGCGGAGCAAACGACCUACGUCGGGUCGGGACUGAUAUGCGUGUGACUGUGCACAAAUUCCGUAUACGCCUUGGGUUGCUGUCGCUGCUCGGUCACCCACAGAUGAAAGUGAUCAAGAAAUGGACAUCACUCAGGUGUGGGAUCACUCGUGGAAGUUCACGGCGGAUACGGAGCCGUGCAUGCAGCUCUGGUUCGAUCCUGCUCAGGGAAGCCCCAAUGACGCCGUGGCGCGCAUCUGGGCUGAGCGGGUGGUGGCGGCCGGUGCGCGGGCGCUGCCGCGUGGCUGGUGGCCGCGGCCCUGGCGGCAGCGGCCCGCUCCUGACCCGGUCGCCCUGUGCCGAGCACAGAGCGCCGACUGAGGUCAGUCUUGUGAUCGAGCUUCCGCGCCGGAGGUGGAACAGGUGGAGCUGGCGGUCACCUGCGCGGGCUCGGCGGCCUGUAAGCCGUGCCGAGACGAACCGCGACACUCUUGCUAGAUCUGCACCCCAUUGUAAUCUUCUGUAGUCGAUAUUCGGUAGGUACUCAAUGCUCAUUUUUCUGAUAUUAGACGAGUGGCGUGUUUUGAUGUUACAUUGGAGACUGCUGUCUCGGGUGGCCCGACAGUGUUCGAUUGUGGUGUAAUGUAGAUACAUAGACGGGAUGCCGCGGCUCGGAUUCGUAGCUGGACUACCAUGUGCCUGUCGAUUGAGAUGCUUUGCCUGGCGAUUGAGAUGAUUCGGGGCGCGGCCCCACACUGACGCCAUGGUGCAAUGAGUGACUGGCGACAACUAAGCAAUUAUGUACUUUUGUAGAACACAUGUUUUCAUGGAUACGAGAGGCAGUCCUUUUUUCGCUAGCAGUCAUUUGGUUCACGAUACUUUCGAUACCGACAAAUAUGUUCGGGCGGCCGGUCCGUCUACAGCUAAUGCGUGCUUGCCCGCCGAUGCCUAACGGAGCGCUGUGCUGUCUACGCUCACUGGUCGCUGGCCCGAGAGCCGUUCGGUUGCUGCUGUUAAAACAGUUCUCACAAAAACACGCUGGCUGGCUGCCAGUUCUUCACCAAUGAGAGGCCCAGUAGCAUCAGCAGGUAGCAUUGUUACUAUUCCAUUUUGUUUAUCCAUAUGUCCGACCUAGAGCCGACUGGUAAAAAGCGGCAACCGAGCAGCCCUCCGCAGCGCUGCAGAUCAUGUACGCUCGAUUAUACACAAUAUAUGUGUCUUUCUUGCACACAGAGACAUGA
rnacentral:misc_RNA from 1 species